rnacentral:misc_RNA from 1 species
GAUGAAGAACGUAGUGAAAUGCGAUAAGUAAUGUGAAUUGCAGAAUUCAGUGAAUCAUCGAAUCUUUGAACGCACAUUGCGCCCGCCAGUAUUCUGGCGAGCAUGCCUGUUCGAGCGUCAUUUCAACCAUCAAGCCCCAGGCUUGUGUUGGAGCCCUGCGGCUGCCGCAGCCUCCCAAAACCAGUGGCGGGCUCGCUAUCACACCGAGUGCAGUAGUUUACUCUUCGCUCAGGGCGUGUGGCGGGUGCUAGCCGUGAAACCCCCAACUUCUCAAGGUUGACCUCGGAUCAGGUAGGAAUAGCCGCUGAACUUAAGCAUAUCAAUAAGCGGAGGA